UGUUCUAUGGCCGAACUAGUAAAGGCAUUGCCGAUCACAGGCAAGGAAUGCGGGUUCGAGUCCCGCUGGAACGG
rfam:Operophtera brumata OBRT01_Sc09595, whole genome shotgun sequence.